rnacentral:rRNA from 1 species
GAUGAACGCUGGCGGCGUGCCUAAUACAUGCAAGUCGAGCGAACGGACGAGAAGCUUGCUUCUCUGAUGUUAGCGGCGGACGGGUGAGUAACACGUGGAUAACCUACCUAUAAGACUGGGAUAACUUCGGGAAACCGGAGCUAAUACCGGAUGAUAUUUUGAACCGCAUGGUUCAAAAGUGAAAGACGGUCUUGCUGUCACUUACAGAUGGAUCCGCGCUGCAUUAGCUAGUUGGUAAGGUAACGGCUUACCAAGGAAACGAUGCAUAGCCGACCUGAGAGGGUGAUCGGCCACACUGGAACUGAGACACGGUCCAGACUCCUACGGGAGGCAGCAGUAGGGAAUCUUCCGCAAUGGGCGAAAGCCUGACGGAGCAACGCCGCGUGAGUGAUGAAGGUCUUCGGAUCGUAAAACUCUGUUAUUAGGGAAGAACAUAUGUGUAAGUAACUGUGCACAUCUUGACGGUACCUAAUCAGAAAGCCACGGCUAACUACGUG